rnacentral:lncRNA from 1 species
AAAUCAGGGCACCCAGUGGCCGCUGCCAGGCUGAGCUAUGGAGCCAGAGCAGCUGGAAACGGCCUCCCGUGGGCCGAGUUAGGCGAGAGAGCCUGGUGGUGAAACCGACCUGGGGCCCAGCCCUAUGGAGCUCACAGUCUGGUGGGGAAGUCUAUGAAACAAGUGUACAGUCACCAAUUGUGAUAAGCUCAAAAGAGAGAGCCAGGACGCACAGGCCCUACAAGAUCCCAGCCCUCCAACACGGACACCUGGACCCUCCCAUUUGACUGCAGCCUUGUCUGUUUGUACCGGGGCUCUGCCCUGGUCCUGUCACCCCUGAGACGUCCGUAAGGUAGGAAUGCCAAACAGGAUCUGUGUGAUGUGUCAACUCUGAGUAAAUACAAGAGGCUGCUAGGAGCCCCCAGCUGAGGAUUGAGAGGCAGGCUGUGUCUGGUUCCAUUUCAAAGAAUGCUGUGAUGCAUUAGCAGCGUCUGCUAUGGCAACACCCAUUAGAAGCACCUGGAAGGGGGGUUUUGGGAAACGGGCUCAGAAAGGAGCAAGGUGUGUCCGUUCCAUUCUUGCCUUAGGUGGCUGUUCCGUUACCCAGGCUAUGCUGUCUCAGUGGCCAGGUGGCUGAGGAGGAAGUCUGAAGGCCGCAUAGUUGCAAGUGGCUUCCCUAGGGCCUGCAGGGGACAGCAUAGGCCCAAAGCUAGAGGAAGCUUGGAAGGGCGCCCACGCUGGGUCCUGCGGGGCUCUGCAUACUGCAGGCCACCAUGGCGCUAGCUCCUUACCCUCUGGAGUCUGUCUCAUCCAGGAGAAGACAGCUGGCUGGCCUCAGAGCGUUACAUGCAACUCGGGUGAAAACAUUUUUACAUGACACAGACACACAAUGGGCUUUACCUCUGGAUAAACUUAGAAACUUUCCAUCCAAACGAAAAGGGUGUAUCUUCUGUAUGUUGCCAAGAAGCCUAAACUGAGUACAAGGACGAUCUUACUUUAAUCAAGUUCCAGAAUGAGGGUACACAGCUUCGAAAAGCAGUCUGUAGCAGAAGAUGCAAGGGUGUGUGUAGCCAUGUUUCCAGAAUAUACCAAAGGAAACACACACAACCCCAGUGUGGCCUUUUGCGAACCCUCGAUGCUGCUCCAUACUGGGGGCAGGCGGCUACUUCGUCCAGCUGACUUUGGGAAUGUCGUAAUGCUCCGUGAGUGUGUCCAGGUGUCUGUUGAAGUCCUGGGGAGGUGGAGUAGAAGGCCGGUGUCAGCGCAGACCCAAGUGGGGUACUGGGGAGAAGUGGCACUGCCCAGCCCCACCUCUCCCACAUCCUAUCUCUCCUGAGCCCCCUCCUCUCAAACUCACCCUGCCAGGUCUUACAGACUCCUGAACCCUGGGCUCCCCUUUGAAUAACCCUGGGGAAGUGUCACUUCUAUUAGGUAAACUUCCCUUCUCGUCAACAUGCCAACAGCUCCCUCUGCCAGCUGAUAGCCUCUGGGCCCAGCUGGGACCCUGAAUGGCUCAGUCUCCCCCACUGGACACGGCGACUCACCUCCACUCUCUGCUUGUGGGUUUUGGAUGCCUUCUUUAGGAUCCUUUCCAUUUGCUGGAGAGAGAAGAGACAUGGAGGUGAGUUUACAGGCUCAACACAGCCCAGGCUGGCAUGGGGUGGAAGAUGGAGCCUGGCCAGACUGGCUCUCACAUUUAGAACAGCUGGAGGUUUCAGGCUCUGUGCCUUGUCCCCCUCCCUCAACUCCACCCAGGCUGGUCCAACAGGGAACCCAGGUCACUUGCCAGCUUCGUGAGUGGCAGGAAAUGAACCAGCAAUGCCUGAGCGCGUACCCAUGAGCAGACUCUGCUGGGAGCUGUCGGCAUGCUUCCUGCAUCCUGAGGAGGCUGUUAGCACUCCCAGUUUGGAGGAAAACAAAGUCCCAGAGCGGGUUUCAGGAAUGAUGAGAAAGAGAGAGGUAAAGGGUCUGACAUAGAGCAGGUGCUCAAGUGACACUUCCCAUCCUGAUGUUAGGGCUACAAGACCAGGAUCACCAUCCCCAGGGUUAUUCUGAAAUAUGCCUCCUGCACCAUGACCUGCUCUGAUCCUCACUUCAAACACUCAAUGACACCUGGAAAGGUCAGUAUCUGGUAGCAGCUGGGAGUGUGGGCUGGGCGCGGUGGCUCAUGCCUGUAAUCCCAGCACUUUGGGAGGCUAAGGCAGGAGGAUAGCUUGAGCCCAGGAGUUCAAGACUAGCCUGGGCAACAUAAGGAGACCCCAACUCUACAAGAAAAUCAGCUGAUUUUGGUGGUGCACACCUGUGGUCCCAGCUACUCAAGAGGCUGGGGUGAGA